AAAGACAGUUAGGCUUUAAAUAAUAUUUAGUUUGUUGAUCUAUUUAUAUAAAAGUAAAAUUUGAAUAUAAAUGGCAAAAAUAAUUAUAACUAAUUUAGGUAGAAGCUGUGAUAGUUUUGAGGGAAACUGGGAUUAGAUACCCCAUUAUUCUUAACAGUAAAUUCAGUUAUAUUUACCAAAGGACUAUGAAUCAUACAAAAUUUAAAACUUGAAGGGCUUGGCGGUGUUUUAGACCUAUUAGGGGAACCUGUCUCAUAAUCGACAAUCCACGUUAAACCUAACCUUUUUUGGCAAUCAGUUUGUAUACCGUCGUCGUCAGGUAACUUUCAAAAAAUUAGAAGUUAGCUAUAUAAUUUCGUAAAUUAAAACGUCAGAUCAAGGUGCAGCUAAUAAAAAGGGAGGAGAUGGGUUACAAUUAAUAUACUUAUAAUUACGGAAAAACAUAUGAAAAAUAAUUGGAAGGAGGACUUGAAAGUAAAGUAUAUUAUAUAAGCACUUUGAAUAAGGCUCUGAAACGUGUACAAACCGCCCGUCGCUCUCGUUGAAAAAUGAGAUAAGUCGUAACAUAGCAGGGGUAAUGGAAAUUGUCCCUAGAUG
rnacentral:rRNA from 1 species